CCCCCCCCCCCCCAAAAGAUAAUUAUGUUCUAUGCAUAUCCAUGUGAUUAUCUUGUAAUGCAUGUUAAUUAGAGACUUUAAAUCAUUGGUUUUCCUGGCUGAUUUAGCAACCCAUUCCAUACUCUUAUACAAUAGAGAUGUCAAAAUAGCCUCCAUCCUAAUAUUUUUAGUUUGUUUUGGGACAUGUAUACAGCAGCAUGUUGUAGCAGUUUUUUUUUAAAUAUGAGAACAAACUAGAACAUAGGAAAAAAUAGUAGACAUAAAGAGUGUAUGUUUUUAUAUAAAUACAGAUAUAUAUGUUGAGUACAUGUGAUAUAUAGCACACAUAACUACAGUCUUGACUUGAUCUACUGCCACUCUCUUCCCUUCUUAUUAUCAUGGGCCUGUAGCAGAAACAAAAACAUCGGGUACCAAAGUUAAUAUCACAUUUCCUUUGAUAGAUCUAAACUCACAGCAAUUAAAUCUAACAAUUACCAAGGGAGACACUCUGAAUAUAGACUUGGUGACAAUGCUAAGGGAGGGGGGGGGGGGG